UACGUAGGGUGCAAGCGUUAAUCGGAAUUACUGGGCGUAAAGCGUGCGUAGGCGGUUGUGCAAGUCAGAUGUGAAAUCCCCGGGCUCAACCUGGGAAUUGCAUUUGUGACUGCACGGCUAGAGUGUGUCAGAGGGGGGUAGAAUUCCACGUGUAGCAGUGAAAUGCGUAGAGAUGUGGAGGAAUACCGAUGGCGAAGGCAGCCCCCUGGGAUAACACUGACGCUCAUGCACGAAAGCGUGGGGAGCAAACAGG
rnacentral:rRNA from 1 species